UACGUAGGGGGCUAGCGUUGUCCGGAAUCAUUGGGCGUAAAGCGCGUGUAGGCGGUCCGGUAAGUCCGCUGUGAAAGUCAAAGGCUCAACCUUUGAAAGCCGGUGGAUACUGUGAGGCUAGAGUACGGAAGAGGAGAGUGGAAUUCCUGGUGUAGCGGUGAAAUGCGCAGAUAUCAGGAAGAACACCCGUGGCGAAGGCGGCUCUCUGGGACGGUACUGACGCUGAGACGCGAAAGCGUGGGGAGCGAACAGG
rnacentral:rRNA from 1 species